AUGUAUAAUCACACCCCUUCACCUUCGUGGGAGUGGACAGUCAAGGAAGGGAAGUUGAUUCCUUGUGUGGAAUGGCAUGGCAAUGCUCAGGAGGUGAAAAGGGAAACCCCAUCGGAUGAACGGUUUGUCUGGAGAUCGGUCAUGGUUUACCAGGAGGAGAAGAGAGCAGCUGUAUUUACCACCCUGUGCUUCCACCCUGGAUAUGGCCUAUUUAUUUUCUUUGAUGUUGUCCCCCGCAGCAGCCACCCAGUGUGUGCGCGUCUUGUUUUUCCCGUCUUGAAUCUUCUGACCCCUUCGUUGUUUUUGUCCAAAGCUUACAUUACCUUACUUUUCGUUACCGCUUCAGGAAUGCUUGUAGUAACAUUGUAA
rnacentral:rRNA from 1 species